UACGGAGGGUGCAAGCGUUAUCCGGAUUCACGUUGGUAAAGGGUGCGUAGGUGGGCAGGUAAGUCAGUGGUGAAAUCUCCGGGCUUAACCCGGAAACUGACCAUUGAUACUAUCUGUCUUGAAUACUGUGGAGGUGAGCGGAAUAUGUCAUGUAGCGGUGAAAUGCUUAGAUAUGACAUAGAACACCAAUUGCGAAGGCAGCUCACUACGCGAAUAUUGACACUGAGGCACGAAAGCGUGGGGAUCAAACAGG
rnacentral:rRNA from 1 species